rnacentral:rRNA from 1 species
AUUGAACGCUGGCGGCAGGCUUAACACUUGCAAGUCGAGCGGAAACGAGUUAUCUAACCUUCGGGGAACGAUAAGGGCGUCGAGCGGCGGACGGGUGAGUAAUGCCUAGGAAAUUGCCCUGAUGUGGGGGAUAACCAUUGGAAACGAUGGCUAAUACCGCAUGAUGCCUACGGGCCAAAGAGGGGGACCUUCGGGCCUCUCGCGUCAGGAUAUGCCUAGGUGGGAUUAGCUAGUUGGUGAGGUAAGGGCUCACCAAGGCAACGAUCCCUAGCUGGUCUGAGAGGAUGAUCAGCCACACUGGAACUGAGACACGGUCCAGACUCCUACGGGAGGCAGCAGUGGGGAAUAUUGCACAAUGGGCGCAAGCCUGAUGCAGCCAUGCCGCGUGUGUGAAGAAGGCCUUCGGGUUGUAAAGCACUUUCAGUCGUGAGGAAGGUAGUGUGUUUAAUAGAUGCAUUAUUUGACGUUAGCGACAGAAGAAGCACCGGCUAACUCCGUGCCAGCAGCCGCGGUAACACGGAGGGUGCGAGCGUUAAUCGGAAUUACUGGGCGUAAAGCGCAUGCAGGUGGUUUGUUAAGUCAGAUGUGAAAGCCCGGGGCUCAACCUCGGAAUAGCAUUUGAAACUGGCAGACUAGAGUACUGUAGAGGGGGGUAGAAUUUCAGGUGUAGCGGUGAAAUGCGUAGAGAUCUGAAGGAAUACCGGUGGCGAAGGCGGCCCCCUGGACAGAUACUGACACUCAGAUGCGAAAGCGUGGGGAGCAAACAGG